rnacentral:rRNA from 1 species
GAGUUUGAUCCUGGCUCAGGAUGAACGCUAGCGGCAGGCUUAACACAUGCAAGUCGAGGGGUAACAUAGGAAGCUUGCUUUCUGAUGACGACCGGCGCACGGGUGCGUAACGCGUAUACAAUCUACCUUAUACUGGGGUAUAGCCUUUAGAAAUGAAGAUUAACCCCCCAUAGUCUCUUAGAGUGGCAUCACUUCUAGAGUAAAGGUUACGGUAUAAGAUGAGUAUGCGUUCUAUUAGUUUGUUGGUGUGGUAACGGCACACCAAGACUACGAUAGAUAGGGGCCCUGAGAGGGGGAUCCCCCACACUGGUACUGAGACACGGACCAGACUCCUACGGGAGGCAGCAGUGAGGAAUAUUGGACAAUGGAGGCAACUCUGAUCCAGCCAUGCCGCGUGUAGGAUGACUGCCCUAUGGGUUGUAAACUACUUUUAUACAGGAAGAAACACCUCUACGAGUAGAGGCUUGACGGUACUGUAAGAAUAAGGAUCGGCUAACUCCGUGCCAGCAGCCGCGGUAAUAAGGGCGA